AGUGGCGAACGGGUGAGUAAUAUAUCGGAACGUGCCCAGUCGUGGGGGAUAACGCAGCGAAAGCUGUGCUAAUACCGCAUACGAUCUCUGGAUGAAAGCGGGGGACUCGCAAGGGCCUCGCGCGAUUGGAGCGGCCGAUACCAGAUUAGCUAGUUGGUGGGGUAAAAGCCCACCAAGGCGACGAUCUGUAGCUGGUCUGAGAGGACGACCAGCCACACUGGAACUGAGACACGGUCCAGACUCCUACGGGAGGCAGCAGUGGGGAAUUUUGGACAAUGGGCGCAAGCCUGAUCCAGCAAUGCCGCGUGCAGGAUGAAGGCCUUCGGGUUGUAAACUGCUUUUGUACGGAACGAAACGGCUCUUUCUAAUAAAGAGAGCUAAUGACGGUACCGUAAGAAUAAGCACCGGCUAACUACGUGCCAGCAGCCGCGGUAAUACGUAGGGUGCGAGCGUUAAUCGGAAUUACUGGGCGUAAAGCGUGCGCAGGCGGUGAUGUAAGACAGAUGUGAAAUCCCCGGGCUCAACCUGGGACCUGCAUUUGUGACUGCAUCGCUAGAGUACGGUAGAGGGGGAUGGAAUUCCGCGUGUAGCAGUGAAAUGCGUAGAUAUGCGGAGGAACACCGAUGGCGAAGGCAAUCCCCUGGACCUGUACUGACGCUCAUGCACGAAAGCGUGGGGAGCAAAC
rnacentral:rRNA from 1 species